rnacentral:rRNA from 1 species
AGUCGAGCGGUAACAGAUCUAGCUUGCUAGAUGCUGACGAGCGGCGGACGGGUGCGUAACACGUAGGAAUCUGCCUGGUAGUGGGGGAUAGCCCGGAGAAAUCCGGAUUAAUACCGCAUACGCCCUAAGGGGGAAAGCAGGGGAUCCAUUCUUUUCGGAGAAGGGACCUUGCGCUACUGGAUGAGCCUGCGUCGGAUUAGCUAGUUGGUGGGGUAAAGGCCUACCAAGGCAACGAUCCGUAGCUGGUCUGAGAGGAUGAUCAGCCACACUGGGACUGAGACACGGCCCAGACUCCUACGGGAGGCAGCAGUGGGGAAUAUUGCACAAUGGGCGCAAGCCUGAUGCAGCCAUGCCGCGUGUGUGAAGAAGGCUCUAGGGUUGUAAAGCACUUUCAGCGAGGAGGAAAGGUAGUUAGUUAAUACCUGACUACUGUGACGUUACUCGCAGAAGAAGCACCGGCUAACUCCGUGCCAGCAGCCGCGGUAAU